CGGGCAUAGCCGCGCACAAAAAUAACCGCCCGAAGGCCGGGGCGCCAAGUUCGUCCAGCGGAAAAAGGCCACAAAAACGGGUGGGCUGUAGCCUUGGGGGGUGGGGCUGGCCCACUUCGUCCGCCGGACUCGGAAUGCCGCGAGACAUUGCGAGGGGCCUCCGUGUGAUAAAUAUAGGCCACGGGCAAAGCCACGCCCACAAAUAAUCGUCCGAAGGCUGGGGCGCCAAGUUCGUCCAGCAGAAAAAGGCCACAAAAACGGGUGGGCUAUAGCCUUGGGGGGUGCGGCUGGCCAACUUCGUCCGCCGGACUCGGAAUGCCGUGAGACUUUGCGAGGGGCCUCCGUGCGCCAAAAAUAGGCCGCGGGCAAAGCCGCACCCAAAAAUAACUGCGCGAAGGCCGGGGCGCCAAGUUCAUCCAGCGGAGAAAGGCCACAAAAACGGAUGGGCUAUAGCCUUGGGGGGUGGGGCUGGCCAACUUCGUCCGCCGGACUCGGAAUGCCGCGAGACAUUGCGAGGGGCCUCCGUGUGAUAAAUAUAGGCCGCGGGCAAAGCCACGCCCACAAAUAACCGCCCGAAGGCCGGGGCGCCAAGUUCGUCCAGCGGAAAAAGGCCACAAAAACGGGUGGGCUAUACCCUUGGGGGGUGGGGCUGGCCGACUUCGUCCGCCGGACUCGGAAUGCCGCGAGACUUUGCGAGGGGCCUCCGUGUGCCAAAAAGAAGCCGCGGGCAAAGCCACCCCCAAGAAUAACCGCCCAAAGGCCGGGGCGCCAAGUUCGUCCAGCUGAAAAA
rnacentral:lncRNA from 1 species